rnacentral:lncRNA from 1 species
CCGUGCGUGGUGGUGGGCGUGGCCAGGCCGCGCGUUGCGUUGCGCCGCGAGCGGCUCCGCGAGGGCGCCCCGGGCUCGGAGCGCGCGCGCGCGGCGUGGGGGGGGGGGCGCCCCCCCGCGCCCCCCACAAAAAAAACCUCCAAAUUUCACCUUUUUAACCGAAAUUUAACGAAUUAAAAAUAUCAUUCCUGAGGGGAAACCCACCCCAAACAACCCCCCCGUGCCGGCGGGGCGGCGGAAUUCCCCGCCCUUCCCCCGCUCCGCUCCCUCAGCCUGGAGCUCCGGAGCCCCCCCAGCCUGAGAAGAGCCCCCCAAAAACCCCCAAAAUCCCCCAAAAUCCCCCAAAUUCCCCCAAAAUCCCUCAAAUUCCCUCAAAUCCUCCAAAAUCCCUCAAAUUCCCCCCAAAAAUCCCCCCAAAAAUCCCCCAAAUUCCCCCCAAAAAUCCCCCAAAACCCCCCCAGAACCCCCAAAUUUCAUUUUUUUGGGGGGUCUAGACCCCUAAACCCCCCCCAAAUUCCCAUUUUUUGGGGUCAGGACCCCCCAAAUCUCCUUUAAAAUCCCCCAAAUUUCAGAUUUUUGGAGUCAGGACGUCCCAAAUCUUCCCCAAAUUUUGGAUUUUUGGGCUCAGAACCUCCUAAAUUUUGGAUUUUCCGGGCUCAGGACCCCCCCAAAUUUCAGAUUUUUGGGGUCAGAACCACCUAAAUUUCAGAUUUUCAGGAUCAAGACCCCCCAAAUUUCAGAUUUUCAGCCCCUCAACCCUCCAAAUUUCAGAUUUUUGGGGUCAAGACCCCCUAAAUUUCUGAUUU